CGAGGAUACUUAUGAAUGUACCUCUUCAAGACAAUUCCAAUGGCAAUAUAUGCUACAACGCAUAAGGUGGGCUUGGAGAUGUUGCUGGGGCUUUACCAAAAGCUUUGGCAAGGCGUGGGCACAGAGUUAUAGUAACUAUGUUCUUCAUAUGAUGAGUUAAUAGCUCAAUACUGAGAUCUUCAAAUUCAAUAGUUUUAAAGAAAUCAGUUGACCUGCUUUAUUUUUUCUUUUUUUGUAGUGUAGUUCUACAAAUUUAGGAUACUUAAAUGGUCCCUUUCUUAGUACACAUUAUUUAUCCUGACAAUUUAAUUAUUCUUCUCACCAUAGGAGUCUAAGAUCACCUCUCAAAGUCAUAAAACAAUGUGGAUGAUGUGGAUUUUUUUUUUUUUUUAAAAAAAAAAAUCUGUUAUAGGUUGUGGCACCAAAGUAUGGUGACUAUUCUGAACUCCAAAAUACAGGGGUAUACAAGAAGGAUAAGGUGGAUGGGCAGGAUGUUGAUGUAAGUUACUUUCAAGCGUAUAUAGAUGGUGUGGAUUUUGUUUUUGUGGACAGCUACAUGUUCCACAACUUCGAGAGCAACAUAUAUGGUGGAGAUCGGGUGGAAAUCUUAAAGCGUAUGGUAUUGUUUUGCAAGGCAGCUGUUGAGGUAUGACUCCGGACUUGGCUGCAUAUGAAGUAUGACUUGGAAAUUUUAUGUCUGCUAUUAGAUAUAUAUUUCCAAAACUUAAGCUGAGUUUGAAAAUGUCAGUAUCAGAGUUCUAGUUGAUCAUGUAAAUGUAAAUUGAGGAAUGUAAGUAGUUGAUCAAAUGAUUUAGUCACUGCAGAGACAAUUUAAAUUAGUGAGGGAGAAGAAAAAAUAAUGAUUGAACUACAAAACAGAAACAACAAACAUGGCUAUACGAAAAUAAUGAAGGUAAAAAUAUAUUCUUACUAACUCAAUUCAUUAGUAAUAUAAUAAUCAAUAACACUAUCAAAUUAAUUCUAAGGAGGGAAGUGUUGCUGAUUUUCUUUUGAGAAGCAAUUUGGCUGGAUGGUUUGGUUUAAUAGAAUUGCAACUAGUGAUAUGUUUUUAAGGAGAAACAUAAGAGUAAAUCAAAUUGUUUUGUUUUAUGAAACAGAAAGUGAAGCAUAUAAUUAUUCAACGGAGGGCGAAGCAGACAUGGCUAUAGGAACAGCUUCUAAGUCCAGACUGGUUUUUACAUCAAUAUAUUUCUUUUUGCUAAUUUAAAAAAUAAAUAAAUAAAUCCAAGUCCAAUUAAU